UGAACAUUCUCCUGAAGCACACAUGGAACAUUCUUUAGGACAGAUCACAGGAUUGAUCUCAAAACAAGUCUUGACAAACUUAAGAAGAUCUACAUCAUUCCAAGCCUCGAGCGGGACCAGUACACGUGGCUGCCCUGCCCCAAGGAAGAACAGCAGACACAGCAGGUAGACACCAGGGACAUUGAGCCUCAGCACCAGGGUGACAACAGGGAAUGCUGAGGACUGAGGUAAAGUGGCAACAUCAUGCUCCACUGUGCCCUGCAGGAUGUGGGUUUUGUGUGGCCACAUCCCUUGGUUUGUGACAAUGUCAAGAAUCUGGAUUCUCUUUUCUUCUUGUGAAAUCUCCUGCUUUCUCAUUGCUUGCCAAGUUGUUUAAAAAGAAAAAAAGAAUGGUUCAGUCUAAGCACAACAUCACUGCUGGCUGCUGUUUCCCAUCUGCGGACCAUCCAUUUGCAACUCGUCAGUUCAAUAAUCACGACCAGCACCACCCCCCAGCUACAUUUGGGGACAUGCUCAGAGAAAGAGUGGGGAGUUUGUGGAGCUGCUCUUGGUAAGAGCAUCCUCUUGGUUUAAAUUGGAGCUGGAAGUGUUUUCCUCAGUUCAAAGCCAAGGUGGAAAUGAAGCAGUUGCCAUUACUGUCAGAUGGCCCUUAUGGUCAGAUGCAGUGAAAGGGCCUACAGAUUCCAGCUCUUUCUUUGUUUUCUCCGCUCCAUUCAUAUUUAUCCCUGCUGCUGACCUUGCUGAUCAACAAUGGCCUCAGUCCACCACCAGACACUUAGCUGCAGAAGCAGUGAGUAUGCAGAAGUGAUAGCUUCUCGCAGAUGUCUCCACAAGCUCCUAUCUGGGGUGACCUAGAAGCUUUGACUUGUCCCUCUGUGCCAGCAUGUCAGGUGGGUUGGCUGCUGAAUCCUCUCUAUGAUACGUUGUGGACUCUUACUUCCUAAUGUCUUCCAGAACCAUACAUGGUCGUAUUCCAUGCAACUUACUGGCUCUAUUCUCGUGACUGAACCCUGACUCCUACUAUGUAGCAAUCCCGUCAUUGC